CUUGUUUAAGGGUGUGUAAUAUGUCGGGACGGUAAAAGUACGGAUCAUUAGUACGGUACUUUUUUUUUCAGGCAUGGUACGAUUUAUUUAUUUAUUUUCAUACAGUUUCUCAUCUCAAUCAAGAUGAUUACUUUGAGAUGUGAUGUGCUGCCUAGUAUUCACUCUCUCAGGUGUUAGUGAGGUGUUGCCAUAACAGAUGUUCUAGUGUGUACUGUAAUGUGGUAAUGUUUGUAAUAGUUACUAAAAGCCAAACAUUAUAUCUGCCGAGAAAAGGGAUAGGGUAAACUUUAAAUGACUUUUUUCUCCUUGUGCGGGACAGAUGACAGGAAUCCUCAGCACUCCCCGCUACCACUCACUUCAGGUUCUAAUCUCUCCCUGGACAGAGAAGGUUACUUUUAUGACCAUAUAAAAGCUUGUCAGGUGAACUAAAUAAUCGUAUCCUCAAGUGCUGGAUGGUACAAGUGAUGGGGUGUGAUGGGGGAGCCAAGGUACUGGUGAUGGGGUGUGGUGAGGGGCCAAGGUACCGGUGAUAGGGUGUGAUGGGAGGCCAAGGUACCAGUGAUGGGGUGUGAUGGGAGGCAAAGUUAACGGUGAUGGGGAGAUAAUGGGGGGCCGAGAUACUGGUGUCGUGCUGUCAUGUGAACUGGUGACACAGACGCGGCCGUGGGUGAUAGUUAUGAUAAUUGUUUUUCAUAUCUCAGCAUCCUCUGCAACGUGACUCUCAGCCGCCACUGACCUUCAAGACUUUAAUAACCCACAUCAUUUUUCCAACCACUCAAGAAUAAGACUUUAUUUUUAACCUUAAACUAAGUGAAUAAAUGGAUGAGUGAGUGAAUUAGUCUAUCAAUCCGUCUUCCAAACAGUCAGUCAGUUAAUCAGUCACAUUGCUUGACGCUAUACGGAUCCACUAACACCUGAGUCUCUACCUAUGCAGUGUAACAAGGAGAUAGCGUACAGGGGCGAUUUAUAAUGUUAUCACGUAUUAAGUGCUGAUAUACCGGACGCAUAUUAGAGGUAGUGUUAAGUGUCGUAUUAAGUUCUGGGUAAGUAGUGGCGUACUCUGCCCGGAGAGUGCAUGUAUAGUUACAGUACUUCACUCGGGGUUACUGCACUAUAAAUCAAGGGUGGAUUGUUUUCGAAGAGCUAUUAUUUUUGCAGUGCCUAUGUGCCUGUUAUUACUCAUGUUUGUAUUGUAUUCAUGACUGGACGCGUGUUCAUGUUGCAUUCGUGACUGGACGCGUGUGUUCGUGAAAUAUUCGUGAUUGGACGCGUGUGUUUGUGUAGUAUUCGUGAUUGGACGCGUGUGUUCGUAGAGUAUUAGUGACUGGACGCAUGUUCAUGUUAUAUUCGUGACUGGACGCGUGUGUUCGUGUAGUAUUCGUGACUGGACGCGUGUGUUCCUGCAGUAUUCCUGACUGGACGCGUGUUCAUGUUGUAUUCAUGACUGGACGCGUGUGUUCGUGUCGUAUUCAUAAUUGGACACGUGUAUUUCGUGCAGUAUUCGUAAUUGGAUGCAAGUUUUACACCGUAUAAUCAUAACGAUAAAAGAAAGUUAAGGGUAAAUGUGUGAAUUUGAGUCGUUCAUGGAUAUUCGGAUCGUUCUUACAAAUUUAUCUGACACCAAAUGCCACUUCAGUAAAUGCAACCCGAGUUAUAUGCAGUGAUUAUCAGUCACUGCUGUCACUUCAUCAUGUGCCAUUACCGGAGCUUACAGUCGCGUCAAAAUUAAUUGUUUGAGGGAGAUCGAAUCACUGUUUUGAAUGAAUGACGCACCGAGUCUCGAGCCACACACUUCUUGAUCAGUCAGUCAGCCUGCGAGGUGCUUUCCUGAAGAAGGGACUAGCCAGCAUCGUAAGGGAGAAACAGAAUUCAUGGCCAGCCAUUCCUCUGUUGUAAUGAGAGAACUGACGUCGAGGCGUUUCGGAUCAUCUGCCCGAACACCCAGUCCAGUCCACGCGGCGGAAGUGGCGUCACAAAUACUGCAGAGAGGGAUGUGGCUGGACGUGCAGCAGCCGACCGGCCUCUCUGUCCGCCGCUGCGAGGGGCGAGCGAGGUGAGGCGAAGUGAGAGGCUCCCAGGGCGACCAAAGGAUGACUGUUCAGGGAGAUGUUUGGUGAUGUGCAGAACACCAACAUGCAGCAGCCUCAAAGGACACACACAAGCUAACCUGAACUAGGAAGUCAUGCCCCUGACCAUUUGAUGGGUGGCUGAUGGUUCAUCCUUAAUGGCCUUGUCGCUAACCCAGCAUCUUUAACAUUUUUAAUCACCUUAUUGGCCAACCUUGCCCUAAAGUGAUUUCC